UCUCCGUAGGUGAACCUGCGGAGGGAUCAUUACAGAGUUCAUGCCCUACCGGGUAGAUCUCCCAUCCUAUGUUAUUAUUACUUUGUUGCUUUGGCGGGCCGUUAGGCUCCGGCCCGACUACCGGCCCCGGCUGGUAAGCGCCCGCCAGAGGACCCAAAACCCUGAAUAUUAGUGUCGUCUGAGUACUAUAUAAUAGUUAAAACUUUCAACAACGGAUCUCUUGGUUCUG
rnacentral:misc_RNA from 1 species